AGUGAACGCUGGCGGUAGGCCUAACACAUGCAAGUCGAACGGCAGCACAGUAAGAGCUUGCUCUUACGGGUGGCGAGUGGCGGACGGGUGAGGAAUACAUCGGAAUCUACUUUUUCGUGGGGGAUAACGUAGGGAAACUUACGCUGAUACCGCAUACGACCUACGGGUGAAAGCAGGGGAUCUUCGGACCUUGCGCGAUUGAAUGAGCCGAUGUCGGAUUAGCUAGUUGGCGGGGUAAAGGCCCACCAAGGCGACGAUCCGUAGCUGGUCUGAGAGGAUGAUCAGCCACACUGGAACUGAGACACGGUCCAGACUCCUACGGGAGGCAGCAGUGGGGAAUAUUGGACAAUGGGCGCAAGCCUGAUCCAGCCAUACCGCGUGGGUGAAGAAGGCCUUCGGGUUGUAAAGCCCUUUUGUUGGGAAAGAAAAGCAGCAGGUUAAUACCCCGCUGUUCUGACGGUACCCCAAGAAUAAGCACCGGCUAACUUCGUG
rnacentral:rRNA from 1 species